UGGUUUGUCGCGUCGUCUGUGAAAUUCCGGGGCUUAACUCCGGGCGUGCAGGCGAUACGGGCAUAACUUGAGUGCUGUAGGGGAGACUGGAAUUCCUGGUGUAGCGGUGAAAUGCGCAGAUAUCAGGAGGAACACCGAUGGCGAAGGCAGGUCUCUGGGCAGUAACUGACGCUGAGGAGCGAAAGCAUGGGUAGCGAACAGGAUUAGAUACCCUGGUAGUCCAUGCCGUAAACGGUGGGCGCUAGGUGUAGGGGGCUUCCACGUCUUCUGUGCCGUAGCUAACGCAUUAAGCGCCCCGCCUGGGGAGUACGGCCGCAAGGCUAAAACUCAAAGGAAUUGACGGGGGCCCGCACAAGCGGCGGAGCAUGUGGAUUAAUUCGAUGCAACGCGAAGAACCUUACCUGGGCUUGACAUACACUAGAUUGCUGCAGAGAUGUAGUUUCCCUUGUGGUUGGUGUACAGGUGGUGCAUGGUUGUCGUCAGCUCGUGUCGUGAGAUGUUGGGUUAAGUCCCGCAACGAGCGCAACCCUUGUCUUAUGUUGCCAGCAUUUUAGUUGGGGACUCAUGAGAGACUGCCGGGGUUAACUCGGAGGAAGGUGGGGAUGACGUCAAAUCAUCAUGCCCCUUAUGUCCAGGGCUUCACACAUGCUACAAUGGUCGGUACAACGCGCAGCGACACUGUGAGGUGGAGCGAAUCGCUGAAAGCCGGCCUUAGUUCGGAUUGGGGUCUGCAACUCGACCCCAUGAAGUCGGAGUCGCUAGUAAU
rnacentral:rRNA from 1 species